GAUGUUUUCUAACAUAAGUAAAGCUCCAAAAAUAUAAAUUGUAAAGGAAAUUAAUUCCUCAAUAGUCCACGCUUCUAGUCGUGCAGGUAUUUAGAUAUGUGGUCAUUUAGCUAGAGACGUAUUGAGUCUUUGUUCUCCUCUACCCCUCAAAAGUACCUAUCUUACCCCAUCGCAGUUGCAGUAUCCCGAUCUUUUCCCCUCUCAAAUCUGAUAUGACAAAGCUUGAACAGUCUAAAUUUGUAAAGAAAUCUGUUUGUAAAUAGUCCACGCUUCAAAUCAUGCUGGUAUUUAGAUGUUUGGUCAUUUAGUUUGAGAGUUAUUGAGUCUUUUCAUUGCUCUACCCUUCACUUUCAAAAUAUUUCACCUUCUCACAUUUGCAGCAUUUGCAGAACUUUUCCCCUCUAAAUUGUGACAUAACUAAGGCUCCAACAGUCUAAAUUUUCGAAGAAAUCUGUUCCUGAAUAGUUCAUGCUUCAAAUCGAGGAGGAGGAGUACUAUCACAUCUUGGCUGAGAAGAUCUACAAGAUCCAGAAGGAGCUGUGGGAGAAGCGACAGAAUAGGAAGCAGGAGGUACUGAUACUGCCGCUGGAGGCAUCCCCAUUAAUGCAGCAGCGCUGCUGCCCCAGCCUCAGCCUCCCCCUAACUGCCCAGACCAGUAUGUCCACUGGGAAAAUGUAGCUCUUUCAACCAACGUGUAUCAGAAUUAUGCUGUACAUAACGAAAUGUAUAUGGUCUUUAAGGGUUAUUUUGAUGUCAGUGUUGCUUUGGCUCAGCAAUGAAAAGUGGACUAGUAGAAUGGGGCGUCAGGUUGGCAUAGUGACACUUUUGUCACCUUCCACUUCUGUGAAUCCAGCCCAGGUUAUCAUAUGGAUUUUUCAGUCUUUACUUAACUUUGUGGGGUUUUCUCUAUAAUGUUCACGUGGAGUUUUCUCUUCCACUUCUAAAACGGAACACGGUCCUCAUAUAUUUGCAGUUGUAAUUUGAAGUUGUAGAUCAUCACAUUUCUGAAGUGGUUACUGGCAGCCCUUUGAAAAACAUGCUGGAGAUUAUAUUGAUACCAUCAAUAAAUAAAGCGGGAGUUUUUAUAAUUUUAUUGUUGUUGAAAUUACACAGGGGAAAUGGUAUUGUUUAUGGUAGCAGGGCCAGGUUUCCUUCAGUUUAUUUCUAAAUGUGGUCAUAAUACAGACUGAUCGUUUGUGGUUCACUCAAGGAAGUCUGUAUACAGGUUAACAUAAAUUUGGUGUGUGAUUUCUACUUACAGUUUUAUUUCAAUUCCAAACAUCUGUAACUUUUUAAGUUAUCACUGAAUAGUCAAGACCUUUUCUUUAUUUGUAGUUUUCUGAAGGCUUUUAUUUUACUUCAUAUUUGAACAGUGAUGUCAUCCAUAGACCAUCGUGCAAUUUUAAUGACUGCAGAUGAAUUGACUCAGAGUGUGUACAAAAUGCAGAUGUAAAACAAAAAUUGUACGAUGUAAACAACAAAUAAAAGUGUAAUGCAAAUGUGAAUUUUAUGUUUUGAAACACAUUCCAUAUCUCAGUAUGUGGAAUGAAGAUGUCAAUUGUACUCAUAGUCAGUAAAUGUAACUAACUCAAGCCUAAAAUUGUAUUUGUAAUAGGAGCUUCACUCAUUAGGUGCUUCUGGAAAAUGCCAGAAAUAUUUUUUUCCGCACACAACUGUUCUUUCUUAUUAUCUUGAUCAGGACUUGAACAAAGCUUUUGCCACAAAUAAAUUACGUUGCUAAUUUGAUAGACUAACUAACAGAUAUUUACAUGUAUGUACAUAGGGUCUGCUGCUUGACAAAGAGAAAACAAAUGAAAUGGGAAGGGGGAGGUUCAACAGCAACUCUUAAACUUGAAGGUCCCUUUUUCAUGAAUGUCUGUAUUUAAACAAGAUAUGCUCUUAUUUUUAUUUUUCUAAAUCCACUUUGGAUGUAACCAUGAUCUGGCCAUCUAUAUACACAGGUAGGCCUACAAGUUAAUGGUUUCAAACUUCAAGCAUACCUUGACUCGAUCAACUCAACUGACAUUUAAACAUGUCAGUGCUCUUUUUGUUUUGUUUUUCAAGCACACACAAAGUCUGAGUCUGUGGAGUUACACUGUGUGUUGAAUUUGAACUUGGCAGCCAUGCAUAUAUGUCCCUGUUGUAGUAUGUACCACUCCAUGGGCAUGUCCCACAUUGUUGAAAAGUAUGAGGUUGUGGUAAGAAAUGUGUGACAAAUACUCUUCAAAUGACUGGUGUAAAUCAGUAUUUGUGGUAUUUGGCUGUGUUGGUGGCCAUAUCUUACCCUUUUCAAGAGCUGAAAUUUUUGGCCAAAAAUUAGACCCACCUGCAAGUGGACAAGAGGAAAGGGGUGGAAGAUUUGAGAAGUAAAUUGCUAUUCAUGUUUAUUCGUUUCCACUUGUUUGAUUUUUUUUAAAUAAACAGACUAUUCACUAUCCGAUUUGCCAUACUUGGUCUUGAAAGUCAGCGAUUUGAGUCUUAAGAUGGCAACACCUUGCGAUAGAAGAAUAAAAUAGAAAGCUUAAGGCUUUAGUACUGAACAGGUCCAGUCUCCCUCAGGAAACUUCCAAGUGCCUUUAGUCUAUGCAUUUUGUAUUCCAAAAUGGUCCACCAAUCAAAAAUGGGCUUGUUUAUGUGUCAGGCUUAUGUAAAAUAAAUACAAGCCCUUUGCCUUUUAGACAUUUUGGAGAAAUAUGGGUUAGAAAGUACAGAUUUGAUCUUGUAUGGCCUGUUCCACUUCACCACAGGUCAAUACAUUUGAGACAAAUCUAGGGAAUUUCUGUGUACAAAUGAUUCAAAAUGAUUUUGAAUUCUAGAUGAGUACUCCAUGUACUUUUUGUAAUUCCUCUAAUCUGUAUAAUAGUCGGAGGAUUUUAAUUGACUGAAAUAAAAUAUGUAGCCUGAGACAUUAAUAAUAUGUCCAUGAUUUGAA